rnacentral:rRNA from 1 species
UACGUAGGGUGCAGGCGUUAAUCGGAAUUACUGGGCGUAAAGCGUGCGCAGGCGGUUUGGUAAGACAGGCGUGAAAUCCCCGGGCUUAACCUGGGAAUGGCGCUUGUGACUGCCAGGCUAGAGUGCGUCAGAGGGGGGUAGAAUUCCACGUGUAGCAGUGAAAUGCGUAGAGAUGUGGAGGAAUACCGAUGGCGAAGGCAGCCCCCUGGGACGUGACUGACGCUCAUGCACGAAAGCGUGGGGAGCAAACAGG